UACGGAGGAUGCAAGCGUUAUCCGGAUUGAUUGGGCGUAAAGCGUCUGUAGGUGGUUACGCUAGUCGGCUGUUAAAGAUCAGGGCUGAACCCUGAGCAAGCAGUCGAAACUGCGUGGCUGGAGUACGGGUAGGGGCAGAGGGAAUUUCCCGGUGGAGCGGUGAAAUGCGUAGAGAUCGGAAAGAACACCAACGGCGAAAGCACUCUGCUGGGCCGACACUGACACUGAGAGACGAAAGCUAGGGGAGCGAAUGGG
rnacentral:rRNA from 1 species